UGAUUCGUAAUGUAAUUUGGUUAGCAUACAAGAUUUUGACUCUUGUAGUUCAAGUUCGAGUCUUGGCGAAUCAA
rnacentral:tRNA from 1 species